rnacentral:rRNA from 1 species
UAGUCCUACGGGAGGCAGCAGUGGGGAAUAUUGCACAAUGGGCGAAAGCCUGAUGCAGCAACGCCGCGUGAGGGAUGACGGCCUUCGGGUUGUAAACCUCUUUUAGCAGGGAAGAAGCGAAAGUGACGGUACCUGCAGAAAAAGCGCCGGCUAACUACGUG